UACGUAGGGUGCGAGCGUUAAUCGGAAUGACUGGGCGUAAAGGGUGCGUAGGCGGUUUGCUAAGACGGAUGUGAAAUCCCUGGGCUCAACCUAGGAACAGCAUACGUGACUGGCAGGCUAGAGUAUCGAGGAGGGGGGUAGAAUUCCACGUGUAGCAGUGAAAUGCGUAGAGAUGUGGAGGAAUACCGAUGGCGAAGGCAGCCCCCUGGUCAGAUACUGACGCUGAGGCACGAAAGCGUGGGGAGCAAACAGG
rnacentral:rRNA from 1 species